AGCGAGCGCGUACAUCGGCAGAGGCAGUCGCAACCAAGCCGAGCACUUGUUGCUGCCUUCGUGAGUGCAGGAGAAAAGACAAGAAAGGAAAUGGGGGCGGCAGAGGGCUGGGAGAUCGCCGCUGUCUGCGUUGCUUCUACUGCUGGAGUGGCUGCGGAUCACUGUUGAGAUUAAAAUAUUGGGCACAUCCUUGAAGGACAGAGGAGCCAUUUCUACCUCUCAGCUGGAGGAAAGGAGCAGGGCAAAAAACAGCCCAGGAGCUGGAAAAUCUGCUGGUUGUCUACAUCCUCUCUGGGUCCAUCCAUGAACUCUCAACUUCAGCUGACACCUUUCUGGGCUGAACACAUCAAGAAGGUUCCUCCCAUACCUUUCUACAACUCUCCCUGGAUACACCAGGAGAUCUUCUUCUGCCAGUGCUGACUCUGUGCAAUCCACCAUCACUCCCUGGUUCUCUUCCGCAGAGCAGAAACUAGCCAUUUCCUUCCUGAGAUAGCAUUUCAAUUAUUAUAGUAUCUAAGUAUUACAGUAUUUCAAUUAUUAAUGCAGUGUCUUCAGCUAAUUGUGUACACCCGCAUUUGUAGCUUCCUCCACCCCUAAGCUAAAUACUCUCCAGUUCAUAAUCGGAGUCAGCAAUGAACACCUCACAUAGCACCAGGUCCAAGGUGGGUCCCUGCUCCACCUCAAACAGCCCGAAGAAUUGUUGGCUACUCUGAAUGGUCUUUUUUAAGUAUUUUGGGCUCAUUAAGUAGCCAGUCAUGUCUCUCCACCUUGCCUCUGAGCAUGCAACGUGGACAACAUCCAAAGCAUCACAAGAGCCCAUCCUUCUCCCUUACACACAAAGCCUGUGACCCUCUCAUGAGAGGAGAUUGGAUUGUUCUUGACAAAUCUGUUCUGGCUGUGAUUCAUCUCCUUGUUAUCCUCUAGAGGUUUACAAAGGACCGGUUUGAUUAUCUGUGUGUAUUGGGUCUGACCCAGGUAACGGAUGUAUGGUCGUGCGGUCUCCCUUUCCCCACAUGCAGGCGCAAGGCUUGUCCUUUUCCAGCCUGCUGGGACAUCACCCCCUGUCCAUGCGUCCUUGACAAGAGUCACACUAGCUAUGACCCUGCGUCGUUUCUGCCAGCGAGUGCUCCAGACAUUACCAAGCGAGGUCCACCUGAGAGUACGUAUUGCAAUAUUCCCCAGCUCACUUCUUUCCCUUGCUGUGGCACAAGCACAUUCUCUGCUGUUACUAACGCUCACGUGCAGCCCAGCCAAACACCGCUUGCCUGUAUCGGACUCCGCAAACAUGGCACUGUGCACGUUACCCGCCCUGUCUGUCCCGAUCUGUGCCUCUCCAUUGAAGAGUGCACCAGCCGCUUAUUUGAUCUCCCCCUUAUCAAUUAACAUACUUGCAGACUCAUUUCUUGUUCCUCUUCUGUGUUCCUUACAGCCAGUCUAUGAUUUCAUGCCUUGAUCAUCCUGUUGUGAAUGUCACAUCAUUUGGGCAGGGAGCGUUUUCUCCUCCACUGAUGCUCGCUCCUCACUCGCUGCCAGGGAGCUGCCCGGCAUCCCUGCUGCCGAUGUUCUGCCUCGUGGGGGGAAAGCGGGGUGUGCGUCCCUUCGUGUGCAACAUGUCAUAAAUUUCCUUCUGAUCUGGAUUGAAGAAAAGCUCCCCAAAAAUGGGAUUUCUCAUAGGAUGGAAAUCAUAGAAUCACAGAAUGGUUCGGGUUGGAAGGGACCUUAAAGCCCACCCAGUGCCACCCCCUGCCCUGGGCAGGGACAACUCCCACCAGCCCAGGUUGCUCCAAGCCCCGUCCAACCUGGUCUUGAACCCCUCCAGGGAUGGGGCAGCCACAGCUUCUCUGGGCAACCUGGGCCGGUGUCUCAUCACCCUCAGAGUGAAAAAUUUCUUCCUUCCCAUUGCUAAACGCUGCCUUUUGUUAGUAUCAGUGGUGGGGAGUCAAGAAAGAGAACAAUACAGACCUUCUGCUCCCAUUUCCAGAGAUCUUCUAGGUCCCCCUCAAGUGGCAUUUGUGCCUUAUUUUAAUGAGCCCAUGUUCCACCAAAGUCAAAUGAGUUCUUGAACCAUUGACCUU